rnacentral:rRNA from 1 species
AUUGAACGCUGGCGGCAGGCCUAACACAUGCAAGUCGAGCGGUAGCACAGAGAGCUUGCUCUCGGGUGACGAGCGGCGGACGGGUGAGUAAUGUCUGGGAAACUGCCUGAUGGAGGGGGAUAACUACUGGAAACGGUAGCUAAUACCGCAUAACGUCGCAAGACCAAAGUGGGGGACCUUCGGGCCUCAUGCCAUCAGAUGUGCCCAGAUGGGAUUAGCUAAUAGGUGGGGUAACGGCUCACCUAGGCGACGAUCCCUAGCUGGUCUGAGAGGAUGACCAGCCACACUGGAACUGAGACACGGUGCAGACUCCUACGGGAGGCAGCAGUGGGGAAUAUUGCACAAUGGGCGCAAGCCUGAUGCAGCCAUGCCGCAUGUAUGAAGAAGGCCUUCGAGUUGUAAAGUACUUUCAGCGAGGAGGAAAGCGACAAGGUUAAUAACCUUGUCGAUUGACAUUACCCGCAGAA